AUUGAACGCUGGCGGCAGGCCUAACACAUGCAAGUCGAGCGGAUGAAGAGAGCUUGCUCUCUGAUUCAGCGGCGGACGGGUGAGUAAUGCCUAGGAAUCUGCCUGGUAGUAGGGGACAACGUUUCGAAAGGAACGCUAAUACCGCAUACGUCCUACGGGAGAAAGCAGGGGACCUUCGGGCCUUGCGCUAUCAGAUGAGCCUAGGUCGGAUUAGCUAGUAGGUGAGGUAAAGGCUCACCUAGGCGACGAUCCGUAACUGGUCUGAGAGGAUGAUCAGUCACACUGGAACUGAGACACGGUCCAGACUCCUACGGGAGGCAGCAGUGGGGAAUAUUGGACAAUGGGCGAAAGCCUGAUCCAGCCAUGCCGCGUGUGUGAAGAAGGUCUUCGGAUUGUAAAGCACUUUAAGUUGGGAGGAAGGGCAGUAAGUUAAUACCUUGCUGUUUUGACGUUACCAACAGAAUAAGCACCGGCUAACUUCGUGCCAGCCGCCGCCGUAAAAC
rnacentral:rRNA from 1 species